ACAUACGACCACACCUGCGAGAAAAUACGGGAUCCCGUCCGCUCUCCCAUCGUCAAGCUCGCAAGGGGUGGAUUAGUAGUUGGGUCGGUGACGACCAGCGAAUACCCGCUGUUGUAUGU
rnacentral:rRNA from 4 species